rnacentral:rRNA from 1 species
UACGUAGGGUGCGAGCGUUGUCCGGAAUUAUUGGGCGUAAAGAGCCUCGUGAGCGGUUUGUCGCGUCGGCCGUGAAAACUUGGGGCUUAACCCCGAGCCUGCGGUCGAUACGGGCAGACUUGAGUUCGGCAGGGGAGACUGGAAUUCCUGGUGUAGCGGUGAAAUGCGCAGAUAUCGGGAGGAACACCAGUGGCGAAGGCGACUACCUGGCCUGUUCUUGACGCUGAGGCGCGAAAGCUAGGGGAGCAAACGGG